GUCUACAGCCAUACCACCCUGAACACGCCCAAUCUCAUCUGAUCUUGGAAGCUAAGCAAGGUGGGGCCUGGUUAGUACUUGGAUGGGAAAAAUGUCUGCCUGCAAAGGGCU
rnacentral:rRNA from 1 species